rnacentral:rRNA from 1 species
UACGUAGGGACCAAGCGUUGUUCGGAUUUACUGGGCGUAAAGGGCGUGUAGGCGGCAAUUCAAGUCAUCUGUGAAAUCUCCGGGCUUAACUCGGAACGGUCAGAUGAUACUGCUUUGCUAGAGUGCGGAAGGGGCAAUCGGAAUUCUUGGUGUAGCGGUGAAAUGCGUAGAUAUCAAGAGGAACACCUGAGGUGAAGACGGGUUGCUGGGCCGACACUGACGCUGAGUGCGCGAAAGCCAGGGGAGCAAACGGG